AUUGAACGCUGGCGGCAUGCCUAACACAUGCAAGUCGAGGGUUAACAGGUUAGAAGAUUCCUUCGGGAUGAUUCUGAUGCUGAAAACCGGCGGACGGGUGAGUAAUGCGUAGGAACCUGCCCUGUAGUGGGGGAUAGCCCGGAGAAAUCCGGAUUAAUACCGCAUGUGAUCUACGGAUCAAAGCGGGCCUCUACUUGUAAGCUCGCGCUAUGGGAUGGGCCUACGUCGGAUUAGCUUGUUGGUGAGGUAAAAGCUCACCAAGGCGACGAUCCGUAGCUGGUCUGAGAGGAUGAUCAGCCACACUGGAACUGAGACACGGUCCAG
rnacentral:rRNA from 1 species